GUGGGGAAUAUUGGACAAUGGGCGAAAGCCUGAUCCAGCCAUGCCGCGUGUGUGAAGAAGGUCUUCGGAUUGUAAAGCACUUUAAGUUGGGAGGAAGGGCAGUAAGUUAAUACCUUGCUGUUUUGACGUUACCGACAGAAUAAGCACCGGCUAACUUCGUGCCAGCAGCCGCGGUAAUACGAAGGGUGCAAGCGUUAAUCGGAAUUACUGGGCGUAAAGCGCGCGUAGGUGGUUUUGUACGUUGGAGGUGAAAUCCCCGGGCUCAACCUGGGAACUGCCUCCAAAACUGCAUGACUAGAGUACGGUAGAGGGUAGUGGAAUUUCCUGUGUAGCGGUGAAAUGCGUAGAUAUAGGAAGGAACACCAGUGGCGAAGGCGACUACCUGGACUGAUACUGACACUGAGGUGCGAAAGCGUGGGGAGCAAACAGGAUUAGAAACCCCUGUAGUCC
rnacentral:rRNA from 1 species